GAGUCGGGCCGGGGGCCGCGCCGCGCCGGGUCUGCGCGGCGCCGGGUCUGCCGGAGCGCGGCUCUGACUCUCCCUUUUGCGUGUGUCGCCUGUAGGGCCCCGGUUCCUCCCCAGCGCGGGCCGGGGCGUGCGCUCGCCCCUGCGGACGCAGCCUGGAGGAGCGGGGGGGCAGGCGGGCCCCGGAGCGGGAUUAGGGCACGGCGUCGGCGGGAGGACGGCUCCUGAUGCAAUAGGCGUGCCCGAGAGUGCUGGUAGGUCAUGAAGGAGUUUAAAACCUCUGGACCAAAUAGGGUUAAGGUCAACUUGAGUUAGAUACGAUUAGUGCAGCCCCAAGUUAUUUACUUGAGAAUUGUGGCUAGGCAAGCAAGAAGAUGGGUAGAAGACAGAUGCUCCUGGACACCCUGAGGCCUCCCCUGCCCCCAGGCACAGACUGUGGGUACCAGCCGACCUGGGCACCAACUGAUUGGAACCCCCGCUGAGCCCUGCUCCCUCCUGUACAGCUGCCCUAAAGCCAUGAGUUUCCCUGGUGCAGCAUGUGUCGAUGGGUCCUCCAUUGCCUCUGACAUCUCCCCAGGCGCUCGUACGCUGCGCAGGGGUCUGGAUGUUUCCAGCAGCGGCACAGCAGCCUGAUGCCUCCUCUCGUCUGGGAUGCGGGGCCCUUGCAAUAUCCAAGGUAACACAAAUCUGGCUCCAACUGUAAUGUACGUAGGAGACAGCGAGUAUUAAGACACCAAAGAAUUCAAAAUGUUUGAAUCUGGAAGGACGAAAGAACAGCGUACUCAGUGAUCAGCCUUUCAGGUGAAGGAGACAACAGCUGUGGUUUUGGUCCCUGUUCCCUUGAUUAUUUCUGUAUGCAUGGGUUAGUGACUAUCUCAUCUAAUUAAAAAUAAACACUGUGAUCGAGGAUCAAAACUCACAGGUCCCUCUUUUCCUUGACAAAGCCGUAACUAAAUGCUGUUGAAUAUGUGUGAUAUGUUAUGUGCAGAGCCCUUUAAGAUUCCAUCUGAUUUCUUUGAUCUUGUUUUAGGGUGCUUUCAGUGUAUUUCCAGUGAGCUAUAGUUUGCUCAAAUAUGUAUAUGUAUUUAUGUAUAUGUUAACAUAUAUAUGUUUUAAAUUCCUCUUCCCUUUGCAUUACUCUACUGAUUUUUUUUCUUAUAACUGUCUCCCAUGUCAAGAAGAUUUAACAAAAUGAAAAGUAUGUCUUCAUAGGAUAAAGACACAUUUUUGUUAGUUACCGUAAUACAGACAUGAAAGGAAAGAUAAAAGAAAAGAGAAGUAGUUCUUCAGAUAAAGUCCGUUAAGUAUUCAUAAUGUGAUGACAUAGGUGAUUGUGAUAUUAUCUAGACAGAAGAGCUCUGCCGAAGGUAGCUUUCAGACAAUUAUAUUGGUAAAAAGAAAAACUGGUAAAAGCUGAUGAAGUCAUUAAAUUUUCAAAAGUUACAAAUUAUCCUGUAAAGCUUCAGUGACUGCAAAUUAGCCUUUGCUAUAGCCCUCUGCUAACAAGCUAUAGAUCAUUUUAUUAUUCAUGAAUUUUAGUAAUUUCAGGACACCACAGGUCAUCUUAUGCUCAUUUAUUUGCUAAACACCUUGUGCUGGUAUGCCUAUGCUGAAAAAUUGCUACUAUUUACUUCCCGUGAGACAAGCAAGCAACAAACUGGUGGAUUUGGCCCCAGACAUCCACUCUGCCAGGCAACAUAUACAUCUUGCUGUCAGUGAAAUAAAUGAGCCCUUAAAUUGGCUGCAAAGCUUUAAGAGCUGAAAUUUGUAUGUCUAGUUAUCAAACAGAAAGUUCAGAACACCUGCCAAUAUGAAACAUAAUUAUGACAAGCUGUUACAUUUUACCUUUAACUUUUCAGCUUUAACACCACAACUUCAUUAUAAGAAUCUCCUCCUCCCUGCCCCUCCUUUCUCCCUUCCCCCAGACUCAGCUCCCCUCCCAAAAAACGCUCACUGCAUUCCAUUGUAAAUGCUGAGUUAACGCUAAUACACUGGGUCAUCUAUCAGCAGACAAAAAAAAAAGUCAGACAUAUUAAAAAUGCUAGGAUUCCUCCUAAGAAUAACCACAAAUUUUCACAGAUUACCAAAAAUGGCUAACUGUGUGUAGAUACCUGACCUUUAUAACCGCCUUUGAAGGCUUUUCAGAGAAAGUCAAAAAUCAUGAAACAGACUUACAGAUUCCUUGUUUUGUUUUUUACUUGAAAAAAUCGAUUCAAUUACUUCUAUCUUAUUUCACUGACCGACUUCAUUAUCUUUCCUUUUGGGUCGCAGAGCCCUACGGCACAGGUUUUUGCCACAACAAAUCCAACAAUUGAUAAGCUGUUUGCUGUUUAUCCAAAUGUUCAUGGGAGGGCAAAAAAAGAAAAAAGCCACCAAAAAUAAAUGUUACUCUUCUUUAAACCCACUUUAAACUAUGCCCUGUGUGCACUAUAACUAAAUAUCUUCCCUUGUGUGCAUGUAUACCUCUGUGUUACAAACCACAAACAGCUAUGUGAGAAGAACACUAUUUAAAGGAAAGACUUUCUUCUUAGCUGUCAAGGAAGAUAAUAUCUAGGCUAAAAUUCAUUUCAACAUUUUUUAUAGAUAUAUAUAUAUAUAUAUGUAUAUAUACACAUAUACACACAAUAUGUAUAUAUCAAUAUGAAGAGCUUAAAAAUUACAACCCUUGACCAAUUGCACCCUUCUGGUCAAUAAAGUAAAUAUGAGCAAUAUGAGAAACAAAUCAAAUGUAUGAACUUUACCUCUUUUAUUACUUUGACCAUAUUAUUUCUUUUUUUAUAGCACCUGCAUACUGUAUUUUCAUUCAAGAAAUUUGAUUGCGGAUAAAGUAGUCCCUACAUGUCAUAGCAAAAAAAUGACACACUAGCCAAAGUUUAAGUCAAUGUAUUAGUCAAAACACACCUUCUUUUCUUCUUUUUCUGACCUUUUGCUACAGACAUAGAAAUCUCACAUAUAUUUUGGGGUUAACAGGACUUCAGCAGGGCAAUCUGUGUUUUAAGCAGGGUUUCUUGCUGGUUCAGAUAUAUUGUUUGUUCAGUGUUGGGAUCCUAUGUAUUCAUACUGCGUUUUGUGUACUGAUAAUGAAUUAAAACAGCAGAAAAUCAUAUACGUAUAUUUUAAAUGUGACAUGUCUGAUUUCAUUUUAAUGUGAUUUGAAAUAUUUCACCCUGAAUUUAUAAAAAAAAUCAUUAGCACAGCUAUACGCAUUGUCUUUUCAUGAUUUUAAUUUCUUAUUCUUCAAUUAAAAAUAUGCUAAAAGCAGAUUUUGCUUAAAUUCUGAGAUAGUUUGGAUAGACUUAGGACCAAAUUGUGGCUGCUUUCUGUGUGCAAGCUUUGACUAGAAAGGUGACACAAACAAACAUUUCUACCUGGUUUUCAAGGAUAUGUCAAUAAGGUCUAUUCACACCAGUGCACCAUUUAGCACCACCUGCGUUCAUGGAAAUCCAGAAGUAGCACAUGCCUCUGUUCACAGAAAUCUCAGCCAGCUUUCUCUGAUGCCUCGUACAACCAUCACUGCAGCCACCACUGUCGAGCUAAUUCAACUCUUCCAAAAAUCAGCAACUGCUGAUAAAUUCUUGUCUUAAUAUAAAAGUUGUGUUUCAA